rnacentral:lncRNA from 1 species
ACUCAUAUUGCGAGAAGUGAGUUGAGCCUUGGCUCACGUGCUGAGCUAUUUUCAAUUUCUGUUUUUAAUGUUUAGUUUUAAAGAGUCAAUUCAUAUUGCGAGAAAUGAGUUAAGCUCAGGAUCACAUGCCGAGUAAAGAAUAAAGACUGGAAUUAAUCGAAGACACAGAUUUUAUAUCCCUAAAGUUAUAGUGAAGCUAAUUGAAGUUGCAGUGGAGCUGAUCGACGAUAUCAGAUCUUACCUUUCUAAAAGUUGCAGAAGAGAAGACCACAAAUUUUAUCUGACUAAAGCGAUGGAAGAG